GUAGGGUGGCAAGCGUUGUCCGGAAUUAUUGGGCGUAAAGCGCGCGCAGGCGGUCCUUUAAGUCUGAUGUGAAAGCCCACGGCUCAACCGUGGAGGGUCGUUGGAAACUGGGGGACUUGAGUACAGAAGAGGAAAGCGGAAUUCCAAGUGUAGCGGUGAAAUGCGUAGAGAUUUGGAGGAACACCAGUGGCGAAGGCGGCUUUCUGGUCUGUAACUGACGCUGAGGCGCGAAAGCGUGGGGAGCAAACAGGAUUAGAUACCCUGGUAGUCCACGCCGUAAACGAUGAGUGCUAAGUGUUAGGGGGGUUUCCGCCCCUUAGUGCUGCAGCUAACGCAUUAAGCACUCCGCCUGGGGAGUACGGCCGCAAGGCUG
rnacentral:rRNA from 1 species